rnacentral:rRNA from 1 species
GAUGAACGCUGGCGGCGUGCCUAAUACAUGCAAGUCGAGCGAACGGACGAGAAGCUUGCUUCUCUGAUGUUAGCGGCGGACGGGUGAGUAACACGUGGAUAACCUACCUAUAAGACUGGGAUAACUUCGGGAAACCGGAGCUAAUACCGGAUGAUAUUUUGAACCGCAUGGUUCAAAAGUGAAAGACGGUCUUGCUGUCACUUAUAGAUGGAUCCGCGCUGCAUUAGCUAGUUGGUAAGGUAACGGCUUACCAAGGCAACGAUGCAUAGCCGACCUGAGAGGGUGAUCCGCCACCCUGGAAAUGAGACCAGGUCCAGACUCCCAAGGGGAGGAACAGUAGGGAAUUUUCCGCAAUGGGGGAAAGCCUGACGGAGCACAGACGGGUGAGUGAUAGAGGUCUUCCGAUCGUAAAACUCUGUUAGUAGGGAAGAAAAUACGUGUAAGUAACUGUGCACAUCUUGAAGGUAACUAAUCAGAAAAGCACGGCUAACCACGGG